UACACUACAGAAUGCCGUUUCAAACAUC
rnacentral:piRNA from 1 species